GAUGAACGCUAGCUACAGGCUUAACACAUGCAAGUCGAGGGGUAACGAGAGGAAAGCUUGCUUUCCUUGUCGACGACCGGCGCACGGGUGAGUAACGCGUAUCCAACCUGCCUAUAACUAGGGAAUAACCUUGCGAAAGUAAGACUAAUACCCUAUGAUUUCCUUUGAUGACAUCAGAUUAGGAAUAAAGAUUUAUCGGUUAUAGAUGGGGAUGCGUCUGAUUAGCUUGUUGGCGGGGUAACGGCCCACCAAGGCAACGAUCAGUAGGGGUUCUGAGAGGAAGGUCCCCCACAUUGGAACUGAGACACGGUACAAACUCCUACCGGAGGCAGCAGUGAGGAAUAUUGAUCGAUGGGCGGAAGCCUGAACCAGCCAAGUAGCGUGCAGGAUGACGGCCCUAUGGGUUGUAAACUGCUUUUAUACAGGAAUAAAGUUAGCCACGUGUGGUUAUUUGUAGGUACUGUAUGAAUAAGGACCGGCUAAUUCCGUGCCAGCCGCCGCAGUAA
rnacentral:rRNA from 1 species